GGCCUGGUGGUGUAGUGGUUACACCUCCUCACAUUUUAUACCAUUACCUUUGAAAGCUUGUGAGGAAGUCCCCUGUUCGAAUCAGGGCCAGGCCU